rnacentral:rRNA from 1 species
AACGAACGCUGGCGGCAUGCCUAACACAUGCAAGUCGAACGAGACCUUCGGGUCUAGUGGCGCACGGGUGCGUAACGCGUGGGAACCUGCCCUUAGGUUCGGAAUAACUCCCCGAAAGGGGUGCUAAUACCGGAUAAUGUCUUCGGACCAAAGAUUUAUCGCCUUUGGGUGGGCCCGCGUUGGAUUAGCUAGUUGGUAGGGUAAAAGCCUACCAGGGCGACGAUCCAUAGCUGGUCUGAGAGGAUGAUCAGCCACACUGGGACUGAGACACGGCCCAGACUCCUACGGGAGGCAGCAGUGGGGAAUAUUGGACAAUGGGCGAAAGCCUGAUCCAGCAAUGCCGCGUGAGUGAUGAAGGCCUUAGGGUUGUAAAGCUCUUUUACCCGGGAUGAUAAUGACAGUACCGGGAGAAUAAGCUCCGGCUAACUCCGUG